GGGGACAUGGCGUAGUUGGGAACGCGUUCGACUGAAGAUCGAGAGAUCGCCGGUUCGAUCCCGGCUGGCCCCA
rnacentral:tRNA from 1 species